rnacentral:sRNA from 1 species
AUUCGAUUUGGUCCGCACGUUAGGAAACCAGAGCUGCCCAGAAUAUGAGUUCGUUCACCAGCCUUGUGUACGCUGUGUUGCUAGUGGUUCUCCUAGCCCUGUCGGCGGAAGCCUUCGGAUUCUUUGAGUACGGAUUCCCCAGCUUCAACCCCUCACCUUUCUUUUACCCCUACUACAGGGGCUAUGCGGAUGAUUUCUUUGACGACGAUUAAGUAGCCAGCAGCGAAGGAAGAAAUGAAUGUAUUCAUCCAAACUCCCUUAACCCGGAAGUACAUCAUGUAUUUCCCACAGCACCUUACAUCCUUCAAUGUUGAAUAAAAAGCUUUUUGCAAACAU